rnacentral:rRNA from 1 species
UACGUAGGGACCAAGCGUUGUUCGGAUUUACUGGGCGUAAAGGGCGCGUAGGCGGCAAUUCAAGUCAUCUGUGAAAUCUCCGGGCUUAACUCGGAACGGUCAGAUGAUACUGUCUUGCUAGAGUGCAGAAGGGGCAAUCGGAAUUCUUGGUGUAGCGGUGAAAUGCGUAGAUAUCAAGAGGAACACCUGAGGUGAAGACGGGUUGCUGGGCUGACACUGACGCUGAUGCGCGAAAGCCAGGGGAGCGAACGGG